rnacentral:rRNA from 1 species
UACGGAGGGUGCAAGCGUUAUCCGGAUUCACUGGGUUUAAAGGGUGCGUAGGUGGGCCUGUAAGUCAGUGGUGAAAUCUCUGGGCUUAACCCGGAAACUGCCAUUGAUACUAUAGGUCUUGAAUUUUCUGGAGGUCAGCGGAAUAUGUCAUGUAGCGGUGAAAUGCUUAGAUAUGACAUAGAACACCAAUUGCGAAGGCAGCUGGCUACAGGAACAUUGACACUGAGGCACGAAAGCGUGGGGAUCAAACAGG